CCCUGGGUGGUGCAAAAGGUUAACGCGCUCGGCUGCUAACCGAGACGCUGGAGGUUCGAGUCCACCCAGAGGCA
rnacentral:tRNA from 1 species